rnacentral:sRNA from 1 species
UAAUAGCCCUGAUGGAAAUGAAAAUAAUAAAGCCGCGUUGUUCGCGGCUUCAUUAUUGUAAUGAACAGCAGGAAAAUGG